UCUCUGGUCUCCACUAUUUCGACUAAUUAUUUUAAAGACCCAUAGGUUCCAUAAGAGGAUGUUGGAAAAGUUUUAGUGCCCAAGGAACUCCAGCUUGAUGACUAUCAGCUCUUAUGCCCAGCUUAAAAUUACUUUUCCCCAUUUAACUCACCCCAGUGACUCUUAAAAAAAGAUAUUUCUAUUGUGAGUAAUAAUAAAAAAGUCUCCAUGUUUCAUCUUUUUAGCAGAACAGGAGAACUACAGCUGUACUAUUAGGCCUAGUGAUUCCAGCUUCUUGCGUUCCACCGCAAGGUUAUCUAAUUAAUUCUUACAGUCAUUAGAGUUUGUGAGGGAAAUGACCCGGAACUUUUCUAAAUGUCUCCUAAAUGCCCUAUGCAUGAUAGGGUCUGUUCUGAGACUUGGUUUAUGUAACCAGUUUUUGGCUUUAAGCAAACAAUAAGUUGAAAUUGAUGUGUUUGGGAUGAAUAACAGUCAGUCAAAAAGCCUUUAAGUGCACAGCUACUGUUACAUUUCAGCAUAUUCCCUGCUAGAGUUAUAGGUAAACUGUAUGGGAUAUAUAAAUAUUAUGUACAGUAUAAACAUACAGACUCAAAGUAAAUUAGUUAAACAGCUUCUGUAAUGCAAAGGUAAAAACUUUACUUCUGACUGGUAUCAGUUAAAAUUACUUAGUAGAAUAUGACUUAGUAGAAUAUGACUUAAACCAUGGUCGUCAUGUCGGUCGACUAGUCAGCGACUAGUCGACUAAGCGGUGAAUGGAUGUCGACUCAACUUGUCGACUAGCUGAAUGUUGAUAUUUCGGUCGACUAGUCGACUAAGCGGUCGACUAGUCGACUAGUCGAGCUGCCAAAUUUCCUGCUUUGGUUUUCUCUGAUUAUAUUUUCAGCUCUGUUUUUCUGCAAUCUGCACAAUAAGUUCUGCAUAAGUAUGUAUAUAUUAUUUCUGCGCAUAUUUGUUGCUUACUUGCUGCACUACCACAUCACAUCACAUUAUCACACAAUUGUUAUAUAUCAGUUGUUACAUAUUUUACUUUGUUUUAUUGUUAUUUGUUAACUCUUUUCGCUUUACCAUCAUUCUCUUUAAGUUUUCGAUUCUUAAUUCCUUAGAAUCUGAAAUAAAACAUUGUGGAAGGUGUUAGAACUUAAAAAUCUAAUUUACAUGAUAUAUGUGUGUGUGUGUGUGUAUUAUUUUUAAUUUAUAAUAAUAUUUUUUUUUGUCGACUAGUCUACGACUUGUCAACGACUAGUCGACUAGUCGAUUAGACGGAGGUCUAUCGACUCGCCUCGACUCAUCGACGUGACAACCAUGACUUAAACACAAAUAUGCUUUUGGUCUUUCUAAUAGAAAGGAUCUA
rnacentral:lncRNA from 1 species